rnacentral:rRNA from 1 species
CUACGGGCGGCAGCAGUGGGGAAUAUUGCACAAUGGAGGGAACUCUGAUGCAGCAACGCCGCGUGGAGGAUGACACAUUUCGGUGCGUAAACUCCUUUUAUUAGGGAAGAUAAUGACGGUACCUAAUGAAUAAGCACCGGCUAACUCCGUGCCAGCAGCCGCGGUAAUACGGGGGGUGCAAGCGUUACUCGGAAUCACUGGGCGUAAAGAGCAUGUAGGCUGGUAGAAAAGUUGGAAGUGAAAUCCUGUGGCUUAACCAUAGAACUGCUUCCAAAACUCUCUACCUAGAAUAUGGGAGAGGUAGAUGGAAUUUCUGGUGUAGGGGUAAAAUCCGUAGAGAUCAGAAGGAAUACCGAUUGCGAAGGCGAUCUACUGGAACAUUAUUGACGCUCAGAUGCGAAAGCGUGGGGAGCAAACAGGAUUAGAUACCCCAGUAGUC